UAUUUGAGUUCCAUAGAUGAUAAAAUAACAUUUCUUAGUUAAAACUAUUGAAUCGCCUUAUGUCACACGUAUUCAACAUAUGUCAUUAGACUAACUUUAUAAGGCGCUUUCACAAUUUUCAGGGUAGUUAAUUUUCUUUUGGUCAACAAACAAGAAGAUAACUAAUCAAAAGUGAGUUUUAAAAAAAAAACUAAUCAAAAGUGAGAAAAUAAAUUAUCCUAAUUAAUUAAAUUUAGUUAAAAUGAUAUAUAUCAAAUUUUAUUGGUGUAUUGCAUUUUUGGAACCUUUAUGCAUCAAAAAAAAAAUUACAUGAAUCAAGAUAGCUAAUCAAAAUUUUCAUAAAUCAAGCAAUGUUUAUUUUAUGUAUACUUUAGCUUUGAAAUUGUUUUAUAAUUCACAUCCCAACCGUGGGACGGGCUGAUCCUAGUAUCUUUAUAUAUAAAGAAGAGUUUACUCCCUCCUGGUUAAGCCACGUAGGAUGUCACGUCAGAAACUUUACUCUUGACGGUGCGACACGUGUCAUUGUAAAUGAAUAUAUUUUGAUUUAUGGGGGAGGGAGCUUUCUCUCUCUGUUCUCUCUCUACACAUCUUUGAGAGAGAGAGAGAGAAAAUCAAUGUUUUGUGUUCUUCUCUUCCGUUUCGUCCUCUGAAUCGGAUUGUUUAUACCUUUUGUUAGUUUGAUGUUUUGGUUCCGGCCACAAAUUGAUCUAUACUGGAUAUAAAAUUCUAUCUAAAUCAGAUUCAGUUUUUAUUUUCAUUUUCAGAUUUCAGGAAAAAAUCCGAUACGUGAUAUUUCAAUCCUUUGUUUGUUUGAUCGUCUUCUCAGAUUGUCUUGCGUGCAGGAAUAUAAUAUUUUCCGUCCUUUUUAGUGGGCCUAUUUAAUUAGGUAUGGGUGGAGCUUCCUCUGUAGAUUGAUAAUUUGAGAUGGAAAGCUUGAGUUCAGAGCUUCAUAAGCAUAUCUCAUGGUGGGCAACAACAAUGAAGGUCAUGUAUUCCUCAAUGUCAUAUCGGUGACACACUUCCCACAUUAAAGACACCAACUGCAGGCUCCGUAGAGCAAAGAGUGGUUCCUCUGCCACAUCUUCCAAGUAUGGUGAUGUUAAGAAAAUUGAAUCCGUCACAUUAUCUGAAAUUAAUAGCUACGUUCUCAACUCAUCCCUAGUGGUGAAACGCAGUGUUCGGUUCACACAAACGGGCAUCUGAUGCUGUUCCAGUUAUUGAAGGACGUCCAGCCAGCACAGACCCAUAGCCUACGCAUACUGAUUCAGUCAUAACCUCCACCGAGACUCCUAUUGAUGAUGACCAUGCGUUCCCUCGAUGGCUGCAACAAAAAUAAAUCCAAUGGAAAAUAAAUAGCAACAUUUUUUAAUGUUUUUGGGAGAAAAAAAAAAGUAGAAUUGUGAAACGGAUCACGGAGAGCAGAUGGUAGCAAAUAUUAUGUCAUCUCCAACGUCAGAAGAUGAAGAGUUGAUUUUGAGUUCAACAAUGGAGAAAUAUGCUGCAACUAAGAAGUAUAUCGAAAACCAUUACAACAAACGCAUGGCAUGAGACACAUAAAGGCUAAGGUUCCUACCGUAGAGGCCGAACACUUUGUAUGAUUUUGAUUGAAUUCACUCACCUUUUUAUGUGUUUUGUGUUUUGAUGAUGAGUCAAUAUAACAAUGUGUCAAGGUUUCUGAGAAAGAACAUGUUAACCCUUCAAACUAUUUCGAUUUCUAUGGGAAGGUUCUUAUAGGUAUUGUAACUAAGGAAUAUAUUGUUUCGUAUGCUAAAUGAUUCAAUAAAGUCUCUCUAUAAAUUGUUUGGUGUUUUUAUUACUUUUAAUACUAACUCAGUUUUUCUUUUAUGUACUCCUAGAAUCAAAGCGCAUGGUCAAUAUUUUCAAUGUUGUAAACAUAACUUAACAUGCUCGAAAGGGUUUGAAUGCUCCAAGGUUAAAAGACGCUCCAAAGUUAAAAGACUAAACGUAUAAUCUUUAGAUAUUGAUUUUUAGCAUGUAUCUUUCCGUAACUAUAACACUUCAACUAAUACGACUUUAUAUAUCUAAAUUGUCCUACAACGCAUUGUGUCACGUAUACAGAUUAUUUCGGGUCUUUAACCUCAAUUAAAUAGUCAUC